UGAAGAACUACAGCUCUCUGGGAAAGCUGCAGUGGCAGACCCUACUCUGGAUAUUCCUGUUAUGUCACAGGCUCUCAGCUGAGGUUUGGAGUAAAAAAAAAUAUUUUAUCGCUGGGGAACAAGAAACACUGACCCUGCUAGCGCCCCCACUUGGAAGCGGAAGGGAAUUCAUCUGGGAGUGGACACCACAUGACAGCAACCGGAACGUGACCCAAAUAGCAGCUCUAGAGUGGUCUGAUGGACAGCUCUCAAUGAUUAUCACCAAUCCUUCUUUUAGGAAAAAAAACAACUUUGACAUUUCCAUGGACCAACAUUUUGAGAAUGCAGGAGUUUUUUCUUUUAAACAAAUAAAGCCAGUAUCCCUCCUGCUUGCACAGUUUGAGGUCUUUGCUUUUAAACUCACACCCUUCCGGUGGCCUGUGGUCCCCCUGGGCUCUGAUGUGAGCAGGACCUGUGAGAUGUCCCACCUGCCAGAGUCUGCCAUGCUACAGUGGGAAAAAGAAGGAGAACCUACCUACAACACCACACUGCAAUACAACAACACAGCUCACCUCAUCAUCCACAACGUGGGUCCAAACAACCAGGGGAAAUACUUUUGUGCCAUAAGGAAAAAAAAUGGAGAGCGCUUGUUCCGUGUUUACAAUGAAGUAAAUGUCGCUGAAGUUACAUAUGGCGCCUCCCACACUGUGUACAGACAGAGCUCCAACAGCAGUGAGGUGAUACUGACCUGCAGAAGUAGUUCUGGGAGGUACAAGACAGCCACGUGGCACUGGA